rnacentral:rRNA from 1 species
CGCUGGCGGCGUGCCUAAAACAUGCAAGUCGAACGGGGUAGCAAUACCCAGUGGCGAACGGCGGAGUAAUACAUAAACAACGUGCCCUGAAGACUGGGAUAUACGGCCGAAAGGCUGAGCAAUACCGGAUGUGGCAGCGUCUCGGCAUCGAGAUGCUAUCAAAUGGUUUUUCGCUUUAGGAGCGGUUUAUGGCCUAUCAGGUAGUUGGUGGGGUAAUGGCCUACCAAGCCGACGACGGGUAGCGGGUCUGAGAGGAUGAUCCGCUCGAGUGGGACUGAGACACGGCCCACACACCUACGGGUGGCAGCAGUUGGGAAUCUUGCACAAUGGGGGAAACCCUGAUGCAGCGACGCCGCGUGGAGGAUGACGGAUCUAGGUCUGUAAACUCCUUUUUCAUGGAAAGACUUAGGACGGUACCAUGAGAAUAAGGACCGGCUAACUACGUGCCAGCAGCCGCGGUAAGACGUAGGGUCCAAGCGUUGUCCGGAUUUACUGGGCGUAAAGAGCGCGUAGGCGGCUCGUUAAGUGUGAAGCUAAAUCUCCAGGCUCAACCUGGAAACUAUUUCGCAUACUGGCGAGCUAGAGGGAUGCAGAGGUUUGUGGAAUUCCUGGUGUAGCGGUGAAAUGCGUUGAUAUCAGGAGGAACACCCAUGGCGAAGGCAGCAAACUGGGCAUCAUCUGACGCUGAGGCGCGAAAGCGUGGGUAGCAAACAGGAUUAGAUACCCUGGUAGUCCACGCCCUAAACGAUGGAUACUAGGCGUAAGAGGUAUCGACCCCUCUUGUGCCGCAGCUAACGCAUUAAGUAUCCCGCCUGGGGAGUACGGCCGCAAGGUUGAAACUCAAAUGAAUUGACGGGGACCCGCACAAGCGGUGGAGCAUGUGGAUUAAUUCGAUACUAACCGAAGAACCUUACCCAGGUUUGACAUCGAUCGNCAGACCCAGAGAUGGGUCCCUCCCCCACAAGGGGACGUGAAGACACCUGGUGCAUGGCUUGCGUCAGUUCGUGCCG